rnacentral:other from 1 species
UAAUUUCUGGAAUAUGCGUUAAGCUCUUAUUUUGAACCUACAUCACAAUUGCGGGAGUUCGAUAUUUUGAUGUGUAUAUGUACUGCUUAUGAGACCUUUUAGGCAUUGCUGAGAUAGAAGCGUCAGUGAGGGCACCCACCUAUCGACAGAUAGGGGUCAAAAUAGAGUACCGGUAUUUUGGAUUUUAA